rnacentral:misc_RNA from 1 species
CAUUCUCAAACCUUCUUGGUUUCUUGACUAAGAAGGCUUUGGACUUUGGAGGCUUUUGCUGGACCUUCCCUUAUUGAAGCCCAGCUCCUCUUAAAUGAAUUAGUGGGGUCUGCUUUGCUGAUCCUUGACGUGAUAAGAUGCUUCUACGUCUUGGGUUUUGCACUGUUUAUUCUAGAUCCUGCUUCUAAUCGUCUUGUAGAAGACAAAUGGUCGACUUGACCCACAAA